rnacentral:rRNA from 1 species
AACGCGAAGAACCUUACCAACGUUUGACAUGUCUAGUAUGGUUACCAGAGAUGGUUUCCUUCAGUUCGGCUGGCUAGAACACAGGUGCUGCAUGGCUGUCGUCAGCUCGUGUCGUGAGAUGUUGGGUUAAGUCCCGCAACGAGCGCAACCCUCGACCUUAGUUACCAUCAUUUAGUUGGGGACUCUAAGGUAACCGCCGGUGAUAAGCCGGAGGAAGGUGGGGAUGACGUCAAGUCCUCAUGGCCCUUACGCGUUGGGCUACACACGUGCUACAAUGGCAACUACAGUGGGCUGCGAACUCGCGAGGGUGAGCUAAUCUCCAAAAGUUGUCUCAGUUCGGAUUGCACUCUGCAACUCGAGUGCAUGAAGGCGGAAUCGCUAGUAAUCGCAGAUCAGCA